GACGAACGCUGGCGGCGUGCUUAACACAUGCAAGUCGAACGGAAAGGCCCUGCUUGCAGGGUACUCGAGUGGCGAACGGGUGAGUAACACGUGGGUGAUCUGCCCUGCACUUCGGGAUAAGCCUGGGAAACUGGGUCUAAUACCUGAUAGGAGCCAUUUUUAGUGUGAUGGUUGGAAAGUUUUUUCGGUGUAGGAUGAGCUCGCGGCCUAUCAGCUUGUUGGUGGGGUAAUGGCCUACCAAGGCGGCGACGGGUAGCCGGCCUGCGAGGGUGGACGGCCACAUUGGGACUGAGAAACGGCCCAGACUCCUACGGGAGGCAGAGGUGGGGAAUAUUGCACAAUGGGCGCCAGCCUGAUGCAGAGAGGCCGCGUGGGGGAUGACGGCCUUCGGGUUGUAAAAUCCGUUCGCUAGGGACGAAGCUUUUUGUGACGGUACCUAGAUAAGAAGCACCGGCUAACUACGUG
rnacentral:rRNA from 1 species